AGGACGAACGCUGGCGGCGUGCUUAACACAUGCAAGUCGAGCGACGCUCCUCCUUCGGGAGGAUGACGGAGCGGCGAACGGGUGAGUAACACGUGGGCAACCUGCCCCUAGCUCUGGGAUAACCCCGGGAAAUCGGGACUAAUACCGGAUAUGAAGUCGGACGGCAUCGUCUGACUUGGAAAGUUUUUCGGCUAGGGAUGGGCCCGCGGCCUAUCAGCUUGUUGGUGGGGUAAUGGCCUACCAAGGCGACGACGGGUAGCCGGCCUGAGAGGGCGACCGGCCACACUGGGACUGAGACACGGCCCAGACUCCUACGGGAGGCAGCAGUGGGGAAUAUUGCACAAUGGGCGAAAGCCUGAUGCAGCGACGCCGCGUGAGGGAUGACUGCCUUCGGGUUGUAAACCUCUUUCAGCAGGGACGAAGCGAAAGUGACGGUACCUGCAGAAGAAGCACCGGCCAACUACGCGCCAGCAGCCGCGGUAA
rnacentral:rRNA from 1 species